rnacentral:tRNA from 1 species
UCCUGACUGGCUCAGUUGGUAGAGCAUGUGACUCUUGAUCUCAUGGUCAUGAGUUUGAGCCCCAUGUUGGGCA